rnacentral:lncRNA from 1 species
GGAGGUGGGGGUAAUGAGUGGAGAAAGCAGGGCGCGCUGAAGAGCUUGGGGUCCCCAGCACCACGGGAGCCGGGAGGACCGCGCGGCUGGAGCUAGCGGUGUAGCAGCAGUCCCCGCGUGGCGCAGCGCGCGGGGACGCUGGGACCGCCCAGAUCUUCCACUGUGCCCGGCGCCCUCGGCUGCUGCUUCUUCCUUCAGCCCGGGCGCGAGCGGCUCCUAAGUCGAGUGCGCCAUGUCCGGGGCUGGAUAGCAGCCCGGCCGCCCGCCGGCCCGCCAGCCCGCCCUCGGAGCCACCCGCCAGCGGGCCGGCUGGGGAGUCCCAGGGCAGGCAGAUGCAGUGAGUGAAGGGGGGGCCAUGGCAGAGGAGCGGCCUCCCCGGUUGGUGGAUUACUUCGUGGUGGCUGGGCUUGCAGGAAAUGGAGCACCUAUACCUGAGGAGACGUGGGUUCCUGAGCCUACUGGGCCCCUGCGCCCUCCCCGGCCAGCUGAACCUAUCACAGAUGUGGCAGUCAUCGCUAGGGCACUGGGCGAAGAGGUGCCCCAGGGCUAUACAUGCAUUCAGACUUCUGCUGGUGGUCACCCCUUGGAGCUCAGUGCUGGGCUCCUGGGUGGAACUCAACCAGUCAUCUGCUACCGCAGGGGGCGUGACAAGCCCCCCCUUGUUGAGCUGGGGUAUGUAUCUCUAUCCAUGCUGGCACUAGAGGAAGCUGGGAGCUACCUUUGAAUGAGCUAAGAAGAGAUGGGGAUGUGGGUCAAGAGGAGGAGUAUGGGAACAGCAGCAGAAUAGGCUAGAGGUCAAGAGGAGGGGCUCACUGCUUUCACUGCUGCUUGCUAGCCAGCAAACGUUUCUUCAUCUGCAAGAUGAGGAUAGUGGCUCCUUUCUGGCUGAUUCAGAACAUUAAAUGAAAUAACCCAUGUG